UACCAGCUCCCUGAGUGGUAAGGACGAUUAUUUGGCCUAAAGCGUCCGUAGCCGGCUUAUCAAGUCUCUUGUUAAACCCAAUGAUUCAAUCAUUGAUCUGCAAGAGAUACUGUUAUGCUAGAGGACGGGAGAGGUCGACGGUAGUCCAGGGGUAGGGGUGAAAUCCUAUAAUCCUUGGAGGACCACCAGUGACGAAGGCGGUCGACUAGAACGUGCCUGACGGUGAGGGACGAAAGCUGGGGGAGCGAACCGGAUUAGAUACCCGGGUAGUCCCAGCUGUAAACGAUGCGGGCUAGGUGUUGGGGCAGCCACGAGCUACUCCAGUGCCGCAGAGAAGUUGUUAAGCCCGCCGCCUGGGGAGUACGGCCGCAAGGCUGAAACUUAAAGGAAUUGGCGGGGGAGCACCACAAGGGGUGAAGGCUGCGGUUU
rnacentral:rRNA from 1 species